rnacentral:rRNA from 1 species
GACGAACGCUGGCGGCGUGCUUAACACAUGCAAGUCGAGCGGUAAGGCCCUUUCGGGGGUACGACGAGCGGCGAACGGGUGAGUAACACGUGGGUGACCUGCCCUCAGCUCUGGGAUAAGCCUGGGAAACCGGGUCUAAUACCGGACAUGACUCCAUGACGCAUGUUGUGGGGUGGAAAGCCUUGUGCGGCUGAGGAUGGGCCCGCGGCCUAUCAGCUUGUUGGUGGGGGGAUGGCCUACCAAGG